rnacentral:lncRNA from 1 species
ACGAGCCUUACCCCUACCAGAAAGGGCAGAGAGGCUGUUUCCAAUCGACCCUCGGCUUAGUGCAGGAAAAGAACAACAAAAACAAAAACAAAAGGGCAUUAGUAACUCCAGCAGAAAUAGCGUAAAUAAUUAUAUAAACGUGAGAAACAUAAAUAAAAUAGCAUGCAAUAGUAUCAUAGAGUAACUACCAUAAAUAACUACCAUAAGGGAGACACAAACCAAAACACAAAUCAUCUAUGGAUAGCCCUGCCAAGCCUCACCCAACCCUAAAAAACAUAAAUAAAAUAGCAUGCAAUAGUAUGAUACAGUAACUACCAUAAAUAACUACCAUAAGGGAGACACAAACCAAAACACAAAUCAUCUAUGGAUAGUCCCGCCAAGCCUCACCCAAACCCGAGUGAGGAGUAUGAAAAACCCUAGGAGCCCCUAUCCUACAACCCUGAUACUAGACAUCCAGACUUUCCUAACAAGGGUCAUGUCCUCGGAAACCCGCAUUCUAUCCAUGUCAUGCCUAAUCACCUCUCCCCAAUACCUCUUAGGCCUCCUUCUUCCUCG